AAACGAACGGUUCGACAAGAAGUCUCGUA
rnacentral:sRNA from 1 species